GUGGGGAAUAUUGGGCAAUGGGCGCAAGCCUGACCCAGCAACGCCGCGUGAAGGAAGAAGGCUUUCGGGUUGUAAACUUCUUUUAAGGGGGAAGAGCAGAAGACGGUACCCCUAGAAUAAGCCACGGCUAACUACGUGCCAGCAGCCGCGGUAAUACGUAGGUGGCAAGCGUUGUCCGGAUUUACUGGGUGUAAAGGGCGUGCAGCCGGGCUUGCAAGUCAGAUGUGAAAUCUAUGGGCUCAACCCAUAAACUGCAUUUGAAACUGUAAGUCUUGAGUACCGGAGGGGCAAUCGGAAUUCCUAGUGUAGCGGUGAAAUGCGUAGAUAUUAGGAGGAACACCAGUGGCGAAGGCGGAUUGCUGGACGGCAACUGACGGUGAGGCGCGAAAGUGUGGGGAGCAAACAGGAUUAGAAACCCUAGUAGUCC
rnacentral:rRNA from 1 species